CGAAAUGUGGUGAAGCUGAUGGGAUGCUGCCUAGAGACGGAGGUUCCUCUGCUGGUGUAUGAAUUCGUGUCAAAUGGGACUCUACAUAGCCAUAUUCAUGACGAGAACAGGUUUAAUAAUAAUUCUCUGUCUUGGGAAGACCGGAUGAGAAUAGCAACAGAAACGGCAGGAGCUCUUGCGUACCUGCACUCGGCCGCGUCCGUGCCCAUCAUUCACAGAGACGUGAAGUCGGCGAACAUACUGUUGGACAGGAAAUGCACUGCAAAAGUGGCCGAUUUUGGAGCAUCGAAGUUUAUCCCGAUGGAUCAGUCGCA
rnacentral:lncRNA from 1 species